AUGCUGACGAGCGGCGGACGGCUGAGUAACGCGUGGGAACGUGCCCCAAAGUGAGGGAUAAGCAUCGGAAACGGUGUCUAAUACCGCAUAUGGUCUUCGGAUUAAAGGAUUUAUCCGCUUUGGGAGCGGCCCGCGUUAGAUUAGGUAGUUGGUAGGGUAAUGGCCUACCAAGCCUACGAUCUAUAACUGGUCUGAGAGGAUGAUCAGUCAGACUGGAACUGAGACACGGUCCAGACUCC
rnacentral:rRNA from 1 species